rnacentral:rRNA from 1 species
UAUAAGGGAAUAAAGUGAGUCUCGUGAAACUUUUUGCAUGUACCUUAUGAAUAAGGACCGGCUAAUUCCGUGCCAGCAGCCGCGGUAAUACGGAAGGUCCGGGCGUUAUCCGGAUUUAUUGGGUUUAAAGGGAGCGUAGGCCGGAGAUUAAGCGUGUUGUGAAAUGUAGACGCUCAACGUCUGCACUGCAGCGCGAACUGGUUUCCUUGAGUACGCACAAAGUGGGCGGAGUUCGUGGUGUAGCGGUGAAAUGCUUAGAUAUCACGAAGAACUCCGAUUGCGAAGGCAGCUCACUGGAGCGCAACUGACGCUGAAGCUCGAAAGUGCGGGUAUCGAACAGGAUUAGAUACCCUGGUAGUCCGCACGGUAAACGAUGGAUGCCCGCUGUUGGUCUGAAUAGGUCAGCGGCCAAGCGAAAGCAUUAAGCAUCC